rnacentral:rRNA from 1 species
AACCCGACUACAUGAAGCUGGAAUCGCUAGUAAUCGCGGAUCAGAAUGCCGCGGUGAAUACGUUCCCGGGUCUUGUACACACCGCCCGUCACACCAUGGGAGUCGGAAAUGCCCGAAGUCUGUGACCCAACCUACGGGAGGGAGCAGCCGAAGGCAGGUCGGAUGACUGGGGUGAAGUCGUAACAAGGUACC